UUGCUCACUUUGGCAGCACAUAUACUAAAACUGGAACAAUGCAAACAUAUACUAAAAUUGGAACAUGGCCCCUGAGCAAGGAUGACACACAGAUCCAUAAAGUCUGCCAUAUAAAA
rnacentral:snRNA from 1 species